rnacentral:rRNA from 1 species
GACGAACGCUGGCGGCGUGCCUAAUACAUGCAAGUAGGACGCAGUUGCGAACGGGUGAGUAACGCGUCGGUACCUCCCUCUUAGAGGGGGAUAACUCUUUGACACGAUAGCUACUACCGCAUACUACUCGAUGGACCUUCGUUGUAUUAGCUAGUAGGUAGGGUAAUGGCCUACCUAGGCAACGAUACAUAGCCGACCUGGGAGGGUGAGCGGCCAAAAUGGGACUGAGAAACGGCCGAGACUCCUACGGGAGGAAGAAGUAGGGAAGAUUGGGCAAUGGGGGGAAACCUGACCGAGCAACGGGGCGGGAGGGAAGAAGGUUUUCGGAUCGGAAAGCGCUGUUGGUAAGGAAGCGGUACUUAACCAGAAAGGGACGGCUAACUACGUGCCAGCAGCCGCGGUAAUAC